GGUCGAUCUUCUUCAGCUCUGACUUUGGAGAAGGAAAGCAUCUCCGCGCCAAAGUUCACUGCCGGUGCGUACGCUGCUUAACCUGCGCACCCUCACCCCUUUUCUUCCAUUUCUCUUCUGCUCCCCUCAAUUUUCCUUCUCUCUCUCUCUCUCUCUCUCUCUAAAACUUUCUGCCUCUAAAACUGCACAGUCUGGGAACUCCAUCGGCGACUCUAAUUGAGGUUGGAUAGCCUGGAAAUUUCAACAUGUAUAUAAAACAGGUCAAAAUUGAGGGAUUUAAGAGCUACAAGGAAGAAGUUGCUACUGAGCCCUUUAGUCCGAAAGUCAACUGUGUUG